rnacentral:rRNA from 1 species
CAUCGCCCAUUGCUCCUUCCGAUUGAAUGGUCCGAUGAAGUGUUCGGAUCGCAGCGAUGGGGGCGGUUCGCUGCCCCGACGUCGCGAGAAGUCCAUUGAACCUUAUCAUUAAGAGGAAGGAGAAGUCGUAACAAGGUUUCCGUAGGUGAACCUGCGGAAG